rnacentral:tRNA from 1 species
GAUGUCUCCACAGGGACUUGAACCCCGAACCCCUCGAUUAAAAGUCGAGUGCUCUAGCCGAUUGAGCUAUGAAGACA